rnacentral:rRNA from 1 species
GACCUAACACAUGACAAGUCGUACGAGUAGUUUUUAACUCUAGGUGGCGGACGGGUGAGUAACACGUGAGAAUUUGCCUUUAGGAGGGGGAUAACAAUUGGAAACGAAUGCUAAUACCCCAUAUGCUUUUGAGUGAAAUGGAUUUUAUCCGCCUAGAGAGAAGCUCGCGGCUGAUUAGCUUGUUGGUAAGGUAAGAGCUUACCAAGGCGACGAUCAGUAUCUGGUUUGAGAGGACGAUCAGACACACUGGAACUGAGACACGGUCCAGACUCCUACGGGAGGCAGCAGUGGGGAAUUUUCCGCAAUGGGCGAAAGCCUGACGGAGCAAUACCGCGUGAGGGAAGAAUGCCUAUGGGUUGUAAACCUCUUUUUCAGGGAGGAAUAAAAUGACGUGUACCUGAAGAAUAAGCAUCGGCUAACUCCGUG